AGAGUGAACGCUGGCGGUAGGCCUAACACAUGCAAGUCGAACGGCAGCACAGUGGUAGCAAUACCAUGGGUGGCGAGUGGCGGACGGGUGAGGAAUACAUCGGAAUCUACCUUUUCGUGGGGGAUAACGUAGGGAAACUUACGCUAAUACCGCAUACGCCCUUCGGGGGAAAGCCGGGGAUCGCAAGACCUGGCGCGGAUAGAUGAGCCGAUGUCGGAUUAGCUAGUUGGUGAGGUAAUGGCUCACCAAGGCGACGAUCCGUAGCUGGUCUGAGAGGAUGAUCAGCCACACUGGAACUGAGACACGGUCCAGACUCCUACGGGAGCAGCAGGUGGGAAUAGUUGGAUUAAG
rnacentral:rRNA from 1 species